rnacentral:tRNA from 1 species
UCCCUGGUGGCUCAGAGGGGUAAAGCACCUGACUACAAUGCAGGAGACCUGGGUUCGAUCCUGGGUCAGGAAA